AAGCCGCGAAUAGCUCAUUACAACAGCCAUCGUUUAUUGGAUCUUUACUUUUACUUGGAUACCUGUGGUAAUUCUAGAGCUAAUACAUGCUUUGAAACUCCGACUUCGCGGGAGGAGUGCAUUUAUUAGACCAAAACCAAUCGGCUUUCGGGCCGUUGCUUGGUGAAUCUGAAUAACUGAGCGGAUCGCAGGGUCUUUGCACCGGCGACGUAUCUUUCAAGUGUCUGCCUUAUCAACUUUCGAUGGUAGUUUAUGUGCCUACCAUGGUUGUAACGGGUAACGGAGAAUAAGGGUUCGACUCCGGAGAGGGAGCCUGAGAAAUGGCUACCACAUCCAAGGAAGGCAGCAGGCGCGCAAAUUACCCACUCUCGGCACGAGGAGGUAGUGACGAAAAAUAACGAGACGGUUCUCUUUGAGGCCCGUCAUCGGAAUGGGUACAAUUUAAACCCUUUAACGAGGAUCUAUUGGAGGGCAAGUCUGGUGCCAGCAGCCGCGGUAAUUCCAGCUCCAAUAGCGUAUAUUAAAGUUGUUGCGGUUAAAAAGCUCGUAGUUGGAUCUGCAGCCUUGGACGCYGGUCGCCCACAGGGUUGUACUGGUUAGUUCAGGCCUACCUCGYCGGUUCUGUUGCCAGUUCUCUUAACUGGGUGCUGGUUGACGGYCGGUACGUUUACUUUGAAAAAAUUAGAGUGCUCAAAGCAAGCGCUUAGCUUGAAUAGUGGUGCAUGGAAUAAUGGAAUAGGACCUCGGUUCUAUUUUGUUGGUUUUCGGAGCGCGAGGUAAUGAUUAAGAGGGACGGACGGGGGCAUUCGUAUUGCGACGUUAGAGGUGAAAUUCUUGGAUCGUCGCAAGACGGACAACUGCGAAAGCAUU
rnacentral:rRNA from 1 species